rnacentral:rRNA from 1 species
CAGUAGCCACGGUAAUACAGAGGGUGCGAGCGUUAAUCGGAUUUACUGGGCGUAAAGCGUGCGUAGGCGGCUUUUUAAGUCGGAUGUGAAAUCCCUGAGCUUAACUUAGGAAUUGCAUUCGAUACUGGGAAGUUAGAGUAUGGGAGAGGAUGGUAGAAUUCCAGGUGUAGCGGUGAAAUGCGUAGAGAUCUGGAGGAAUACCGAUGGCGAAGGCAGCCAUCUGGCCUAAUACUGACGCUGAGGUACGAAAGCAUGGGGAGCAAACAGGAUUAGAUACCCCCGUAGUCCCUGUCUCUUAUAC